ensembl:snRNA U1 U1 spliceosomal RNA
UUACUUACCUGGCCUGGGAGAUACCAUGAUCAUGAAGGUGGUUUUCCUAGGAUGAGGCUGGUCCAUUGCACUCCAGAUGUGCUGACCCCUGCGACCUCCCCAACUGCAGAAACCUCCACUGCAUAAUUUGGGAUAGUGGGGGAGGAAAAAAAAAUGAUUGUCAAGUGUCAGAACACAGACCCUCC